CCUUACCACGAAUUAAAGCUUUAGAAUUUCAUCCAAGAUCUAAUUUAGCAGCACUCGUAUUUGCAAACGUAACAAGUGGAGAAACUUCGAAAAAUAAGACCACAUACAGUAGAGAAAGGAGAAAGAAACUUUAUUCAGUUUUGCAAAGUGCACGGGGAUCAUCAGCAUCUUUUUUAAAAGAAAAAUUAUCAGCCUUGGGUUCAUCUGGAGUGUUAGCAGACCAUCAGCUGCAAGCUCAAUUACAGGAGCAUCAUUCGAAAGGCCACAAUCAUCUCACAAUAUUAGACAUUGCAAGGAAGGCUUUUCUUUACAGUCAUUUUAUGGAAGGCAAUACAAAAAUUGCUCCAAUAUCUCGCUUGCCUCUCAUCACUGUUCUAAAUACCAAGCAUCAUUUGAAGGACAUUCCAGUUGUACAGCCAUUUCAUUUGGAG
rnacentral:sRNA from 1 species